rnacentral:rRNA from 1 species
AGUGAACGCUGGCGGUAGGCCUAACACAUGCAAGUCGAACGGCAGCACAGUAAGAGCUUGCUCUUACGGGUGGCGAGUGGCGGACGGGUGAGGAAUACAUCCGAAUCUACUUUUUCGUGGGGGAUAACGUAGGGAAACUUACGCUAAUACCGCAUACGCCCUACGGUUGAAAGCAGGGGAUCUUCGGACCUUGCGCGAUUGAAUGAGCCGAUGUCGGAUUAGCUAGUUGGCGGGGUAAAGGCCCACCAAGGCGACGAUCCGUAGCUGGUCUGAGAGGAUGAUCAGCCACACUGGAACUGAGACACGGUCCAGACUCCUACGGGAGGCAGCAGUGGGGAAUAUUGGACAAUGGGCGCAAGCCUGAUCCAGCCAUACCGCGUGGGUGAAGAAGGCCUUCGGGUUGUAAAGCCCUUUUGUUGGGAAAGAAAAGCAGCAGGUUAAUACCCCGCUGUUCUGACGGUACCCAAAGAAUAAGCACCGGCUAACUUCGUG